rnacentral:lncRNA from 1 species
AUGCCCCGCGGCUGCAGGGGGCGCAGUAUGGCGGCUUUCUUGCCGCGUGGGUUGUUGGUCGCGGUUUCCACCUCGCUUCUCGCUUUCUCCAGGCGCCUGUGGCUGGCGCGGGUUUCCAGAAAAAGAGAUCAGCCAGGACAGGCCCGGCCCAGCUCUUACCUGCAGGCCAGCUGCUGCUGCACGUCCUUCUCCAGCCGCUGCCCAGAGAGUCUCUUCGCCUCCCUGGAAGGUGGCCCUUGUGCUAGCUGGGUUCUUGCUCUGGGGAGGGUGGCGCCUGCUCCCUGGUCAGCUGACUCACCCAGGACUGGGAUGGGCCAGGUAAACAAGGCAGGUGGCCGGGCCGGAGGAGGACUUCGGUCUUACUCCAGCAGUGGAGGUGGGUUGGGGCACACAUAGCUGCCGCCGGGAGGGUGUGAACCGACUUCUUGGUCUUGAGGAAAGUGGGUUUGGAUGGGACCCCCAGUCCUGCUGAACAUGAGGGGAGUUGGACGGGUUUCCAGGGUCUUCAAAAACGGCCAAACCUUGUGACCCAGCAUGUCUGCUUCUAGGAAUUUGUUACAAGAAAAUAAGUAGGCAGUGAGGUCCCAGGGCCCAGCACCUUGUGGCUUAUAAGAGGGGAAUCUAGAAAUCCCAAAUGCCCAUCACUAGAGGCUGGUUCAGUAAGCCAGUAUCUGUGGAAGUUCACAGAGCCGUUCAAGGUGCUUAAGGAAAGAGACCAUGAGGAAGCGUUCCUGAGACGCUGGCAGGGCGCUGAAAAAUCAAUAUUGCAGCCUGGGCUUCCGUUGGUUUUCCUUUUUUGAAAAGUGGAUGUGCACUGAAAACAGUCUGGAAGGACGUCUAAAGUGUGGGACCUCUGUGCUGUGGUGGGACUAGGAGGGGCUUUUGGUUUGUACUUUUGUGUGGGUUCCAAGGCGGUGGGGUUUUGUUUUGUUUGUUUUGAAGUUAGUUUUUGCCUUGGAUGCUUACGAUUUUUGUAAGGGAGGAGGAGCAAAUUAAGUUUAAUUGUUUUAAACAGGAAUUGAGAUUGGUUGUCUCCAGAAAGGGGAACCAAGGGGGCUGCGUGGUGGUGAGAGGGGAUUUUUUUAUAGCAUGCUUUUUGGUGCCUUUUAAAUUUUGAAAAAUUUGAAUGUAUUACUUAUCCCAAAAAGAAUCCUAUAAAAUUAAACAGAAAAGGAGGAGGAAUUUAGUUUGGGUUGUGGUGGGUUUGGUUGGACAGAGGUGCUUGUCGUACUUGGUGCCUGGGGAGGCCCAUGAGGAAUGACGCAGGGCUGCCGCCCAGGGCGGGGCUGCUCACCAGGCCAGGCAGGCCCACGUCACAGUGCCCGUGACUAGCUGGGCAGAGUUGCACUAAGUGCCUUAUGUGUCAGAUCCUGACCAAGGGCCCAGCUGGUGCUCA